rnacentral:lncRNA from 10 species
CGGACACUUCCGGUGGAAGGACUGAGCGGCGCUACACUUCAAGAAUUCCGUCCACAGGGACUUGUGAGUCUGCGCAGAAGGCGGGAUGCCUUUGGACUACAAUUCCAAGAAUCCUUCCUGGGUCUCUUCGGGCGCAGACUUUUCGCCAAAGUCCUGAAGAUCUCAGGGCUUGAAGGAGGGGGCAUCUUUUUUCUCCAUUGUAGUAGUGUGUCUUGCUAAAUAACAGAAGGGACUCCUGAAAAGAAAAUGACGUUGGCCGGGCGCGGUGGCUCACGCCUGCAGUCCCAGCACUUUGGGAGGCCGAGACGGGCGGAUCACGAGGUCAGGAGAUCGAGACUAUCCUGGUUUACGCGGUGACACCCUGUGUCUACUAAAAAUACAAAAAAAAAAAAAAAAAAAAAAAUUGCCGGGCGUGGUGGCACGCGCCUGUAGUUCCAGGUGCUCGGGAGGCUGAGGCAGGAGAAUCGCUUGAACCCGGGAGGCGGAGCUUGCAGUGAGCCGAGACCGCGCCACUGCACUCCAGCUUGGGUGACAGAGUGAGACUCAGUCUCAGAAAAAGAAGAAGAAGAAAAAGAUACACACUCGAGCACACAUUUUCUCAGCAAAGCAAUUUACUUCUAUAGAAGGGCUGGAGCGCAUUGGUGCGGUCUCGGGCUCAC